CUUUUCGAGGUAGGAGUCGACUCCUGUGAGGUAUGGUGCUGGGUGCAGAUGCAGUGUGGCUCUGGAUAGCACCUUAUGGACAGUUGUGUCCCCAAGGAAGGAUGAGAAUAGCUACUGAAGUCCUAAAGAGCAAGCCUAACUCAAGCCAUUGGCACACAGGUGGAGUCCAACUUGCCUGGACCAGCUUAAUGGUUCUGCUCCUGGUAACGUUUUUAUCCAUGGAUGACUUGCUUGGGUAUGGAGAGUCGGCUUGACUACACUGUGUGGAGCAAGUUUUAAAGAAGCAAAGGACUCAGAAUUCAUGAUUGAAGAAAUGCAGGCAGACCUGUUAUCCUAAACUAGGGUUUUUAAUGACCACAACAAGCAAGCAUGCAGCUUACUGCUUGAAAGGGUCUUGCCUCACCCAAGCUAGAGUGCAGUGGCCUUUGAAGCUUACUACAGCCUCAAACUUCUGGGCUCAAGUGAUCCUCAGCCUCCCAGUGGUCUUUGUAGACUGCCUGAUGGAGUCUCAUGGCACAAGAAGAUUAAAACAGUGUCUCCAAUUUUAAUAAAUUUUUGCAAUCCAU
rnacentral:lncRNA from 1 species